rnacentral:rRNA from 1 species
CCCUUAGAUGUCCUGGGCUGCACGCGCGCUACACUGAUGUGUCCAGUAAGCACCUAACCUCUUCCGAAAGGAACGGGUAACCUUUGCAAAGCACAUCGUGAUGGGGAUAGAUUAUUGCAAUUAUUAGUCUUGAACGAGGCAUUCCUAGUAAGCACAAGUCAUCAGCUUGUGUUGAUUACGUCCCUGCCCUUUGUACACACCGCCCGUCGCUCCUACCGAUUGAAUGUUCCGGUGAGCUCUUCGGACUGCGCGGUCUGCAGUUUCUGCGUUCCGUGCGGAAAGUUGCGCAAACCUUAACAUUUAGAGGAAGGAGAAGUCGUAACA